UGGAGUAAGUCUAAUGAAUGAGGUAGGAGAGAUACUUCACUGCUGAGGCAGUGAGAGAAUGCUGCCCCCAAAGAGCCGAGCUUUGAACGAGCGCUAAAACCUACCUCCUCAGAGAGCAGCUAUAGAGAUGAGCUGCAGAAUCUUGGGCCCUACCCUAGAUCUUCUGAAUUAGAAAUUGCACUUUAACAAGAUCUUCAUGUGAUGUGCAGGCACCUUAAAGAAUGUAUAACAUUUCAACAGCAUAUGCAGAGGGAACAGCACUGUAGGCACUGGGAACAGCAUAUGCAAAAAGGCUGACAGCAAUGUUACAGACACAAGAUGAGUCAACAAAGACAUCCGAUGAUUGGUUGAGAGACAACGAUAAGGAAGGGAUAAAAGUACAGCCAGACACAGCAUGUUUCAUAUCGAGGAUGGUUACAUUUAUCAGAAAGGAUGAAUUAGAGAGAAAAGGGGAAAGAGGAACUAUGGCCAAUUUGGAGAUUAUCUUUUUCUUAUAAAGGUAACUGAGCUCUUCUUAUCACUGACUGCCUAGUCUCCAGCUUUAAUAGACACAUGAUCUGAGUCCAAAAAUAUGAACAAUGGUUUACUAGCAGCUGUGCAAAUAUAUAACAAGAAUGAAGGUCAACCUCUCAACUUAGUGUUCAUAAGUCCCCAUGAACCUACGCCCUGGAUCUCCUCAGCUAAUUACUCAUGUUCAGGUCUGUUACUUAUAAUUCUUUUCCCAGUUUUGGAAUUUGUUAUGGUUGUUUAGGGGGCCAGAGACAAAAAUCCAACCACUAAUUGGCUUCAACAUAAUAGGGGAACUCAAUGUUUCACUUAAAUUAAAAGUUCAUUAGG